CUGGCGGCAGGCCUAACACAUGCAAGUCGAGCGCUCACUUCGGUGGGAGCGGCGGACGGGUUAGUAACGCGUGGGAAUAUGCCCGGUACUAAGGAAUAGCCUUUGGAAACGAAGAGUAAUACCUUAUACGCCCUUCGGGGGAAAGAUUUAUCGGUAUCGGAUUAGCCCGCGUAAGAUUAGAUAGUUGGUGGGGUAAUGGCCUACCAAGUCUACGAUCUUUAGCUGGUUUUAGAGGAUGAUCAGCAACACUGGGACUGAGACACGGCCCAGACUCCUACGGGAGGCAGCAGUGGGGAAUCUUAGACAAUGGGCGCAAGCCUGAUCUAGCCAUGCCGCGUGAGUGAAGAAGGCCUUAGGGUCGUAAAACUCUUUCGCCAGAGAUGAUAAUGACAGUAUCUGGUAAAGAAACCCCGGCUAACUCCGUGCCAGCAGCCGCGGUAAUACGGAGGGGGUUAGCGUUGUUCGGAAUUACUGGGCGUAAAGCGCGCGUAGGCGGAUUGGAAAGUUGGGGGUGAAAUCCCGGGGCUCAACCCCGGAACUGCCUCCAAAACUGCCAGUCUAGAGUUCGAGAGAGGUGAGUGGAACUCCAAGUGUAGAGGUGAAAUUCGUAGAUAUUUGGAAGAACACCAGUGGCGAAGGCGGCUCACUGGCUCGAUACUGACGCUGAGGUGCGAAAGUGUGGGGAGCAAACAGGAUUAGAUACCCUGGUAGUCCACACCGUAAACGAUGAAUGCCAGUCGUCGGGUAGUAUACUAUUCGGUGACACACCU
rnacentral:rRNA from 1 species